rnacentral:lncRNA from 1 species
AUGGAUCGCUGCCUCCCAUUGGCUCCGCGUCUCUUUCACAAGAUCAGAUUUCGAGCUGUCAAUCAGGCGGCUCGCGGCCCCUUCUCGAGGAUCCCUCGCGCCCCUCUCCCGAGCCGAUGCUCCGCGGGCGGGCGGGCGGGCGCCGGAGCCACCGCCUGCGAACGCCACCGAGGACAUCAACUGCCUCCCUACGGCGCUGCGGGCUGUCCGGGCGUCCGGGACACCGAAGCCAUGUGUGUCGAGUCGCUAGUGUUCCUCGCCGGUGCACCACUUUUGAACCGCCAGCCGUCACGUAAAACGAGAUCGUAUCGCUCAUGGGGCAGUAAAAUAAAGAAAAAGCACCCGGGAACUGAGGGAUUGCUUCUUUUAAACAGCCGGAGCCGGGGGCGAGCGGCCGUAGGGCUCGGGUUUCAAGGACCAGGAUCUGGACGUUACCAAGUGGGGGCUGCAAGUCUGAAACCACUUGCCCUGGCGCGCCUCGGAGGCUCGGAGCGGCCAAAAGUCGCUCAGAAAGCAGCCUCGGCCCAGCAACAGUCGAUGGGAGGCCGUGCGGAUGGGACCAGGGACUUAGUGGUGUUGAAAUUCACUUGUGAUCCUGAUGGCGUCCAGAGCUGGAGACCAAAGGACGUUUCCGGCAGCUGUUCCGCCCGUAGAGAAACGUGCUGCAGUUCUCAAUUUCUAUUGCAAAGUUUCCUGCCUUAAAUGGAACGUGAGAGAGACGCAUUUAAAUGGGAGUGUGAGCCCACAAGACUCCAUUCCGGACCCCAUGGAGGGAACCUAGGAGGGUAAUGUAAAAAAAAAUAAAAUAAAAUAAAAUAAUUUUAAAAAGUGUUUUUUUUUCUUUCUUUCUUUCUUUCUUUUUUUAAUAAGCAGCAACAGCAAAAGUAUUACUGGGUAAACACCCAGUAACUGUGGACACCCACCGUGCAUUCCCUGACACUAGUAAAUGAGAGAGCCGGUGCACACGCGAGCACCCACAAGCAUUUUGAGCGGGAACUGCACUUAAACCUCGGCCCCAGGGAAGGGUUCCCUGGCCCUCGAAGCGGAAUAGUGAGGCUCUGGGGUACAUUCUGAGGGUGUAGUCAGGCGGGGAGCCAAGAGCUAGGGUGCCCCGCCGCCCAGCAUUCCCGGGAUAAACCAGCCUCUGUAACGUGAGCAACAGUUUCCAAAGACCUUCUCGGCGGCCAGAGCCUGACGGGUAUCCAGGGUAACCGGGAGGGGGCGGAGCUUCCCGCCUCAGCCAAUCACGUGUCGUAUGUUCCCAGCCCAUUGUUGUUUAUUGCUGACCCCGCAGCGCUCCGCUAGCAGAUUGGCCGCUCCGGGGAAGGGGGCGGAGCUUCUCCCGCCCCUGCAGCCACCUUUCGGCUCCAUUCACAAAAUUCCGGCCUUUCUUGGUCACGUGGUUGGGGGCGUGGCGGGGCAGGGGAAAUGACACCACAAAGGCCCAAGUUCCCCAAAGCCAAAAAAAAACUUUUUCCUACCCCGCUACCUCGUCUGUGAUGCGUCCCUGAACAAAUACUAUCUGAGGAAAGGGAGGCUUAGGUCUGAGAACAAGAGGGGGAAAAAAAAAAAAAGUCGGAAAUUCAAAGAAGGGCUCCCAGGGCGACAAUCUCAGGGUGCACUGUCUACCAGAAAAGCUGCAAAAGAGGAGAGGGAGAGAGCUAAGGCGAGUGGGGAGAAAGCCCAAGGACAGACUAGUAACUCAUUGCCAGCUUCAAGCCGCCGCUUUCAGAAGUGCCAACAGUUCAACUGCAGAUAGAUUUCAGUUUUCUCACCCAACUUUCCAUUUUUACCUUUAAUUUAUCCCACAGUUGCUUGUGAGCUUCUUGAAGUUUCAUGGAGGAACACUGCAGGGUUUUUCUGGCUGACAGUGUUAGUUUCCAUUUCCCAAGUGCUCCCUGUUUUACAGGCUCCCCAAAGCACUCCCCCUCCUCCCCACCAGCGCUGGACUGGCAGACAGAAGCAGCGCCCUAAUCCUCCCGAUUUUACUCCGGAGUGAGGGGGGAUCUGUAUUUCCGCCUUUGGAUUCUCCAAACGCACUCGGCUCUGAACUAUUUGAUCUUAACAGUAAUUGAAAAUGAUGGUAUGAGAAUAAGCAGACAGUCAGUCUCACUACAGCUCAGUUUCGUUGAGACAGCACAAUGUUUUUCUGAAAUAAAUGGACCCUUCUAAGCAAGUGAACUAUUGGACCAUGCUCCUCUCUCUCAC